GGAUGUCCCUCGGUCUGUCACUGUUUUCUCCGUUGCUGCUUGUGCUGCGCUGGCGACGCCACCGUGAACCCAUCGGAAAAAAACAGACAUGACGUUUUGGAAGGAGAGCACUGAGGGAAGUACCGACUUCUCCUUCAGCCGUGGCCGUAAGCCGGGGGUGGCGGCCCGGUGAAGCCUCUCAUUGGGCCGUUAAAUCUAUCAGGUGCAGGAGCUCCGAGAGCCGUUUGUCUAAGUUUGACCGAGGCGAGGAGGAGUGGGAGGAGGAUGAGGAGGAGGUGGGGGGAAAGCAUGUGGCACUUUUUCCUCCAGACUUCCUCCACAACAGCACGUUGCAGCUGGCACAACCGGGAGAGCUGCCGUUAAGAACCCCAUGCUUUGCUGUGGCUGUUCUGAGUUCCUGCCUCAGUCUGUGAGAGCACGCUGAGCUUUGCCAUGUUUUGACUGCAUUACCUGUAUCCGGCUGAGGAAGACAAAUUUGUAAAAGAUGGAUGUAGCCACAGUGCAGUGAUGUCGUCCAGCAGUCAGGGAGAUCCCGAUGUGUGAGGUCUGAAGUUGAGCAUUUCCACUGGUGAACUAAGAUUUGGGCGUGCACAGACUUCACUUCUCUGGAAAGUACCAUCAUUCCUGGGAAAUGCCUCAGACCUCUGUCUACCAUGUGACAAAUUUACAGGGUUGACCCUCACACCCAUCACCGGUCCAUCAUGCUGAGGAUCAUCUCAGGAGUCAGGUCCCCGUUCGGAGGGGCUUCAGACAGCUGCCCCGCCUGUGCUACACCCUCUCCCUGGGACAGCUCCUC